UACGAAGGGGCUAGCGUUGUUCGGAUUUACUGGGCGUAAAGCGCACGUAGGCGGAUUGGUCAGUUAGGGGUGAAAUCCUGGAGCUCAACUCCAGAACUGCCUUUAAUACUGCCAGUCUCGAGUCCGGAAGAGGUAAGUGGAACUCCUAGUGUAGAGGUGGAAUUCGUAGAUAUUAGGAAGAACACCAGUGGCGAAGGCGGCUUACUGGACACAUAUUGACGCUGAGGUGCGAAAGCGUGGGGAGCAACAGG
rnacentral:rRNA from 1 species